GUACGUUAUUUGUAAGUUGUAUUGGGCCACAUGGUUUGUCAUGUGCCCUGAACCAUUUGAACAUAUAUGCAACAGUCUAUAUGCAAUGCAACUACUCAUAUCAAUCGUCUCUGGUAGUUCAGAGGUGCUGGUACCUGGAGCCUGAGAGUGCUCGUCCAUUUGUUUGGGACAGAACCCCUUCUGUAUGGGUACCUGCACAAAUAAACAUCUCUACAUAUUCCAAAUACCAACCCAUC